GUUCUUUACAUUAUUUUUGUACCUCACCAUCAAAUUUCUCUCCAUCUUGAGGCUUGACCUCAUUCUCCUUAGAUUUUAACUCUUAUGUUCCUUCUACUUGGAUGCGGUAAUUUUGGUUUAGUGGAUCUUGGGGAGAAGGCAUUGGAUUUAGUUGAUGAUGGGUUUAUAUUUGUGGUAUGGGAUUUUUUGGAGUGUAGAGUCUUUGGUAAAGUGGAUUUAGGACUUGGUAGUUUGGGUUUUGUAAAGGUUUUGGUGGA
rnacentral:lncRNA from 1 species